rnacentral:rRNA from 1 species
AGAGUUUGAUCAUGGCUCAGGACGAACGCUGGCGGCGUGCUUAACACAUGCAAGUCGAGCGGAAAGGCCCUUCGGGGUACUCGAGCGGCGAACGGGUGAGUAACACGUGAGCAACCUGCCCUAGGCUUUGGGAUAACCCUCGGAAACGGGGGCUAAUACCGGAUAUUCACUUGCGGACGCAUGUUUGUGGGUGGAAAGUUUUUCGGCUUGGGAUGGGCUCGCGGCCUAUCAGCUUGUUGGUGGGGUGAUGGCCUACCAAGGCGACGACGGGUAGCCGGCCUGAGAGGGCGACCGGCCACACUGGGACUGAGACACGGCCCAGACUCCUACGGGAGGCAGCAGUGGGGAAUAUUGCACAAUGGGCGGAAGCCUGAUGCAGCGACGCCGCGUGAGGGAUGACGGCCUUCGGGUUGUAAACCUCUUUCAGCAGGGACGAAGCGUGAGUGACGGUACCUGCAGAAGAAGCGCCGGCCAACUACGUGCCAGCAGCCGCGGUAAGACGUAGGGCGCGAGCGUUGUCCGGAUUUAUUGGGCGUAAAGAGCUCGUAGGCGGCUUGUCGCGUCGACUGUGAAAACCCGUGGCUCAACUGCGGGCCUGCAGUCGAUACGGGCAGGCUAGAGUUCGGUAGGGGAGACUGGAAUUCCUGGUGUAGCGGUGAAAUGCGCAGAUAUCAGGAGGAACACCGGUGGCGAAGGCGGGUCUCUGGGCCGAUACUGACGCUGAGGAGCGAAAGCGUGGGGAGCGAACAGGAUUAGAUACCCUGGUAGUCCACGCUGUAAACGUUGGGCGCUAGGUGUGGGGGGCCUCUCCGGUUCUCUGUGCCGCAGCUAACGCAUUAAGCGCCCCGCCUGGGGAGUACGGCCGCAAGGCUAAAACUCAAAGGAAUUGACGG